rnacentral:rRNA from 1 species
UGCAUGAAGUCGGAAUUGCUAGUAAUCGCGGAUCAGCAUGCCGCGGUGAAUACGUUCCCGGGCCUUGUACACACCGCCCGUCACACCAUGGGAGCCGGUAAUACCCGAAGUCAGUAGUCCAACCACGUGAGGACGCUGCCGAAGGUAGGAUUGGCGACUGGGGUGAAGUCGUAACAAGGUACC